rnacentral:misc_RNA from 1 species
CGAUGCCAUUCUGGUGCAACAUAUCCUCUUGUUCCUCUAAUUCCUGUGAAAGUUUUCGUUUGGUCCGGCUUCAGCAGCUUUGCCAAUCCAAAAUCAGAAAUUUUUGGAGACCUGUAUUCAUCUAUCAGUAUGUUCUGUGGUUUUAUAUCACAAUGGAUGAUCUGUGUCUCGCACUCUUCAUGUAGAUAGAGGAUACCCCUUGCUAUAUUGCGAGCAAUCUCCACUCUUUCUGUAAAACAAGGUCUUUUUUCAGGAGAGAAGAGCAAGUCAGCAAGGGAACCAUUGCUCAUGUACUCAUAUACCAAGAGCCUAUUAGGUCCUUCGUUGCAAUAACCGAGUAGGCGUACUAGAUUCUUGUGAUGUGUUUUUCCAAUAACCUUCACUUCAGUUUGGAAUUCUUUUUCCCCUUGAGAUGCAACUCCUUCUAGUCUCUUGACAGCUGCAACUUUCUGGGUCCUCGAUACUAGCCCUUUAUAAACUGUCCCAAAUGAACCUCUGCCGAUUUCUUCCCUGAAACCAUCUGUUAUCUCUUCUAGUUCUGCAAAAGUGAAAGAUCGGGGAGCAACUUCCUCACAUAAUACAAUAUUCUCAUUUGCAUUUAUCCUUUUGUAUGGCUGUGCACGAGAUUUAUAUAACAGAAUGCCAGAUAUUGCCAACAUAACAAGCCCAAGGGCAACAAUUGAAACACUGGCAAUUAGGAUGCCCCUUCCAAGCUGAUCACUCUUUUUCUUUCCAGGCUCAACUCUAUCUGUGGUGGUGGAUAUAGAUUUGCCCACCUUGAUCAAAGCUGAAUUUGAGUCACCCAUAUCUCUUUUCCCAUAUCUCAAAGGAAGCCUCUGCUUUUUGCACUGCCUAUCUUUAAAAAAUGCAGCAACACAGUCACAGUCCUCCAAGCAGGCUCUCUCACAAUCUUCUUUGAUAGAUAAGAAGAGAACGGAAUAUGGAUUGUCUUCCCAUACAGUAUUG